rnacentral:misc_RNA from 1 species
AACGCACCUUGCGCUCCUUGGUAUUCCGAGGAGCAUGCCUGUUUGAGUGUCAUGGUAUUCUCAAUCCAUUUGUCUCUGUCAAAUGGUAUUGGAUGUGGAGGAUUUUGCUGGUCUUGUUUCUGAUCAGCUCCUCUGAAAUAUAUCAGCAUGAAUAUGUUGCUGCCUUCAGUGUGAUAAUUAUCUAUGCUGUAUGGCUUGGCUUUACUAUGUUUUAUGCUUUCUAAUCGUCUGUUAAUUCGGACAAUUUUAUUGACAUCUGACCUUAAAUCAGGUAGGACUACCCACUGAACUUAA